GUCUUUAUCGGUUCUAUGAAACACCAAACCUAGAAAACUCUCAUACUAAUCUUCGAUCUGAAUUUCAACAACGAAAUACUGCUUAGAUCGAGCUUUGUCGUUGCUGUUUAUCAAGUUUGUACCGCAGAUUCCGAAUUAUAGAAACAGUUCAAGUUCGUUGGAUAAGACAGAUUCACAGAGGAAGCAUUCUUCUCAUUGGUUACAGAUUGUUCCAAAGGAUCUUUCUGCAACAGUCUAGAUAAUCUGUUGGGGGAUAGGCGGUCAGAUGUCACCACCACCUUUGCCGUCACGGUCGCAGUUGCAUAUCCGAUGGCUUAGAAGAGAGGUGGCGGCCACGAGGGCUUGGGAGAUCCCAUUAACCCUAAAUUUUGAUGGGUUAGAGUUUAGGUUUGGGUUUGGGCUUGGGAUUGGGCUUGUAUAUUCAUUUGUAUUAAGAUUAGGCCUAAUAAUUGUUGGUUUGUAAUUGUAAUUUUUUUUUUGAGCCCAUUAUGAUUAUUUUUUUGUUUAAUUCGGUUCAAAU